rnacentral:rRNA from 1 species
GUCUACAGCCAAGCUACCCUGAACAAGCCCGAUCCCAUCUGAUCUUGGAAACUAAGCAGGGAUGGGCCAGUUAGUACUUGGAUGGGAGAUCACCUAGGAAGACCAGGAGCUGUAGGAG